CUGCGCGGCAACCGUGAUAAAAUAUAGAUUACACUAUUGCAGCGCACGGCGAACGGAAAUCCAACGCGGAAAAUAAUAGUUAUUGAUGUGAAAACGUCUUAUACGGUGCUCAAAUGUUUCCGUUUGGGCCGUAAACAUUUUCGAUCAUUAUCGGUUUUGAGUAACGCUCGAUACCUAUUAUAAUAUUAUUAAAAGGAGAGGUGAUUUUUAUGUCUGAAGUUCCACUGGUUUUUUCAAAUUUUUCGAAAAACGCCGAAAUAUAUUUUGCCACUAACAGCCGAAUUCGAGUUCAAUUUGUUUGUCACAAAUAUGUGGUGUGCAAUGGCGAAAAAUCAUAAAACUCCGGAUAAUGACCCGAUGAAAUCUAAGUCACAGCAGGGGUAUCAGGAUUGUAUAGAGAUAGGUUAGUACAGUCCAGUAUGCAGUAUGCAAGGGUGAUUAAUCAUAAGACUCGAGAUAACGACAAGAUGAAAACUUUAUUAUCGCUGGUGUAUCAAGACUGUGUAGUGAAGGAUUAGUUCAGUUGAUUAUGCAGUAUGCAAUUGCGAAAAAUCAUAAAACUCCAGAUAAUAACCUGAAAAAAUCUAAAUCAUAGCAGGUGUAUCAAGAUUGCAAGGAACAUUUUAAACUUAUUUCUAUUUUAAAAUCAACUUAUUUUGGUAAUAACUUGUUUAUAUGAAUGAGAAAUGUCUCAGAAUAUGCCUACAUAAGGUUCCUAAUUAUUUUUAAAUUAUUAUUUUUAUUAUUGCAUUGACAGGCAUAGCGUAAAAAUUGGGUAUUAUGCUUAUACAAUAAUAAUAAGUCAGACUUGCUUACACUGAUUAGUAUAUAAUGAUUUGAGCUAUAAUUCUUUUCAACAGUUUUGUAAUACAUCCAGAUUUAUAUAUAAGUUAAGCUUUGAAAUGUAAUUUUUUUAUAUAUAUUAGUACUUUCUUUACUUGUAAGUAAUGUUUUAUCACCUGUAAAGAAUGAUAUGCUGUAAACCUACUACUUUUUUGUACAAAAUAACUAUUAUUCUGUCUACUAUCGUAAUGAGAUAUAUAUCUUAUUGUUGACCAAAAAAUUAUGUGUCAUUGAAACUAUUAUAGGUGUGUGCAGUAUUAUUUUAGUAAGGGUUAUUUUACCUAAUACAAUUCAGUAAGAUAAAUAAUGUCUCUAUAUUAUUAUAAUAAUUAGUUUAUAAUAUAAGUCUAAUUAUAGUCUAAAAUUUUUAGA